rnacentral:siRNA from 1 species
AUAUCCCAACACAACCUCCCAAC